UCAACCUUACUAGAACAGGAUCAGUUCUAUAGGGUGAUACCUCUGUGUCCUUGAGUUCUAAGAAGACAGGAACCACAUGCCGGUGGAUGAUUCAUGACCGUGUGAUGCAUGAUUAACAGCAUUGUGGUCCCUGAAUCGCAAAUGCCAUAAGGAUCAUUCUCAGCCAUUGAUUAGGCUGAGAUGAUCACAUGGUCAUCAGACGGACU